GGGACAGCCCUGGAGACUGGAGUCCUGUUUAUGCACAGAACAGGUACAUCACAGGAGCUUUUUGCCAUGCCAUCCUGCUAAUACACCUCCCCCCCGACCCACAGAGAGUAACUUCUGGGGAGCACUGGGGUAGCUGUCCCCUUGGCCUCUUUCCGAAGUUUGGACUAAU
rnacentral:sRNA from 1 species